rnacentral:misc_RNA from 1 species
CAGGGGCGGCGGGCCCUGCGAACCUCUGUAUCUCAACCACUAGAAAACCGUCUGAGAAAAAACAAAACAGUCAAAACUUUCAACAACGGAUCUCUUGGCUCUGGCAUCGAUGAAGAACGCAGCGAAAUGCGAUACGUAAUGUGAAUUGCAGAAUUCAGCGAACCAUCGAAUCUUUGAACGCACAUUGCGCCCGCCAGCAUUCUGGCGGGCAUGCCUGUCCGAGCGUCAUUUCCCCCCUCACGCGCCCCGUUGCGCGCUGGUGUUGGGGCGCCCUCCGCCUGGCGGGGGGCCCCCGAAAGCGAGUGGCGGGCCCUGUGGAUGGCUCCGAGCGCAGUACCGAACGCAUGUUCUCCCCUCGCUCCGGACGCCCCCCCAGGCGCCCUGCCGUGAAAACGCGCAUGACGCGCAGCUCUUCUUAUACAAGG